rnacentral:misc_RNA from 1 species
CAGACACUGAAACUCUGCAAGCUAUAGCUUUAAGCUCAGAAUCACUAAUUAAAACCAGUAACCGGAAACUGAUCGCCGGCCACCUCCACUCCGAUCCAAUGGUCAACUUUUGAAUAAACAACUACCCAGAAUCUCAAACGCUGAAAAAAAAAAAAUAAUAAAACACCAAAUCUGAAAGUUGCAACAGUGUUAAGGCUGCUUUAGAAAAUUAAAUAACAGCGAACAGAAAAGAUAGACUUCGAGUGAUGGCUUUUUGCAGAAAAAAGGCCAAGCCUUUGGUCUAUGCUCUUACUUCUUAAGGAAGAGAAAAAGAAAGGAAAUAAACAAAUUUUUUUU